rnacentral:lncRNA from 1 species
CACCAACAAUACUUUAAUCCUGUAACAUUAAUCAACAGAUCCUGUUCACAGUCAUGUGAAUAAUCUCAUAAUCAUAAUUGUAGUUCUAAUUUUCACUUCUCAUCCAAGACGAAGAUAUUUUUCAUCACAUGUCUUUACCUGAAACAUCAAAGAUCAUGGUUAUACCAAAUCACAGUUCCUGUUCAUAAUCAUACUAAUAAGUUCAUCUUUGCACUACGGGCCAAAGAUAUUCAUUAACAGUUCAUAUUUGCACUACAUGCCAAAGAUAUUCAACAACAUGUCAUCUUUGCACUACGGGCCAAUGAUAUUCAACAACGGGUCAUCUUUGCACUACGGGCCAAAGAUGUUCAUCAACGAUUCAUCUUUGCACUACAGGCCAAAGAUAUUCAUAUCUCAAAUAAAUUUAUAAUCAUUUCAGAAUUUUUAUAAACAAUAAUUAUAACCAUGUUGAUCAAUUCACCUUUGCACUUAAGCUAAAAAUAUUCAAUUGUAAAUUCAAUGGUCAUGAUCAUACCAGUCAACCAUUCAUCUUUGCACUACUGGCCAAAGAGAACCCAUAGUCACGAUCAUACCAAUAAUCUACCCAUCUUUACACUUAAGUCAAAGAAAAAUUUUAUCACCGGAAUUAUAAAAAUGUUAUAUAUGAUAAUAAAAACAAUACGAUCAACAACUGCAUUUAAUUUCAAGAGUAAGAUUCAUAAAUCAAUGAUUUCAUAACACCUUAAUCUAAAUAUUAUAAAUUACUUAAUAAUCUCAUAAUCUAAUAUUAUUAAUACUACCACAAUAUUUUAAUCAUUUCUUAAACUUAUAAAUAAUUUAUUUUAAUUGUUUACACUUUACUAAUUAAUGCAUUUAAUCAUACUAAAUUACCAAACUCAUAAGAUUUCAUCACCAAUAACCAACAACCUCAUCAAAAAUCUACAUAUACCAUAUAUAGGAUUCUCAAGCCAUAAAAUCCCAUUUUUUAAUUUUUUUACUUCACAUAACAUAUUUAAUUUAUUUAUUCAUAACUAGUCCAUUUUCAUGAAAAAUACCAAAUCAAUUUCAAAAAUAUUUUUUUUCUGGGAUUUAGCAUAAUAUAGUCCCAUAUUGAACAUAUAUUUUUCUCAAAAUUUUUAAAAUUUAUUUACUAUUUUUCACAUGGUCAAAACUGCCGAAUAUUUAGACAUUUAUCAUAAAUUGUACUUUUGUCCAAAAAUUUCAAAAUUUACAGAAUAUACUGAUAUUAUAUAGAUAUACUCCCAAUAAAAUUUUUACCAAUUUUGGAGUUAACCACAAGGAGUUAUAAGGGUUUACUUUUAAAAUAAUCUUUUCUCAUAAAAUUCAUAACUCCUAAUCUAUACAUCCAAAAAUCGCUAUUUUUGGACACAAUCAAGAAAACUCAUCAAAUUAUCAUUUUAAAUUUUUCCAAAAUUUUCGAAGUUCAGAAAAAUUACGAAACAUGAUAAACAUAAUAAUCCUUAAAAUCCUUUACCUUAAAAGAGCAGUACUUCUAACUGGAAUAUCGGAUGUAAAGCCGAAGGAAAUUUUCACUGAAUAUCAACUCUUCAAGUAUCUAAAUACUCACAAAAAUACGC